GUACUGAUGACGAGUCUAAAAAUAGGGCGAAACAGUUGUCUAGUAC
rfam:Trichobilharzia regenti genome assembly, scaffold: TRE_scaffold0006550